UUAUUUAAAAAUACAACACAUUGAUGAAAGAAUACUCAUCUAUCCAUAAAUAUUUAUGUUAUCAUAAUUUCUAAAUCACAAACUCAAAUCUACAGUAUUUCUCUAAUAGAUAAAAACUUUCCAAAACUAGGAGUUUUUAAGAAAAUUAUUUAAAAAUACAACAUACUGAUGAAAAACUCUGAAUAAUACUAAACUGUCCAUAAAUAUUCUUGUUAUCCUAAUAUCUAAAUCACAAGCUCAAAUAUACAUUAUUUCUCUAAUAGAUGAAAAAUUUCCAAAAAUUGCAGUUUUUAAGAAAAUUAUUUAAAAAUACAACACAUUGAUGAAAAAUUCUGAAAGAAUAUUCAUCUAUCCAUAAAUAUUUCAGUUAUCCUAAUUUAUAAAUCACAAACUCAAAUCUACAGUAUUUCUCUAAUAUAUUAUAUUUUAUAUUUGAACACAUGCGGAACAAAGAUGGUAUUACAUUUUUACAGUUUGACCAGCGCUAAUCAAAGUGGCAUUAUAUUUUUAGAGUUUAACAUGCGCUAAACAAAGAUAGCAUUAUAUUUUUUUCAUAUGUUCCGUUGAUAAAAAAAAUCUGCAUUUUUCAGAAUUAUUUUAAGAAUUUUUUUUCAAAUUUUUCAUGUGUAAACCUAAUCAUGAAAACUUUGUAUCAACUAUAUAAAUAGGCUAAAUGUCUUUGUUAUGUAGCAAGUUACCCUAAACCAUAUUUCUUCUUCCCAAUCUUCUGCCUUCCUCAUUGCUUAACCAUGCAUGAUGCAUCCUAUCUUCAGUAACAUUUCUUGUUAUCCCCCUUUCCGUAUUGAUCCCUUUCCAAAACUUACUGUAUCUAAUCUGGUAAAAGCACUUGAAAACAAAUCUCCUGAACAACGAAGAAAUAUGAUUGGUGAGUUUCUCUACCGACUAGUGGAACAAGUUGAGCCAUUUUUCACUGCAAAAAUCACAGGAAUGCUUCUUGAGAUAGACCGAACCGAACUCCUUCGGUUGAUGGAGUCACCCCGGGCCCUCAGAGAGAAGGUCAAAGAGGCAAUUGAGGUUUUAAGGGACUGGAUUCCCCAGACAGAAGCCUACAAGCUCCAAGCAUCCAUGCUUUUGCAUAAGCUGUGAUGUGAUUCUAUGGCUUUUAUUUAUAUGCUUUUAUGUUGAACUUUGAAUUUCAUUUUUGUUUCAAAUAAAACGUCACAUGCUAUCAUUAUUGUUAAUGUGGUAUGUAGACAUGUAGUGGUGACUGACACACACAAAAAAAUGUUCUGUUUUGUUUUAUCCAAAGAAAUAAUAAGAAGUGGUUGAACC